CUUUUCAGCUUAGCCGUGGCAGCUCACGAGUUUGGUGUUCGGUGCUGGUUCUCAGCCUGGCAGGCAGUUUGGGAUUUGAAACAAUGAAUCAGAGGAAUUCAGACAGGACUGGAAGACCUAUGUGAAUCAAUGCAUAUUGAAAUAAGCAGAACCGGAAGAACAAUAGACACAAUGACUGCAAUAAUGGAAAUGAAAACUACACUGAAAAGUAAGCCCAAUUCUAGUUAAUGAGUCAGAGCCCAGGAAAGACAUUGACAAACAAGGCCAAAUUCAUAGAAGAGUGACUUCUGAAAAGAUCAUACAUCGUGAAGAUCAACUGAGGGAAAUGGGAACGUUUAUCCUGAAGAAAUGAACCGACAGGGAGGAGGGGAAGACUGUAUCUAGAAGAACUAUG